UACGUAGGGUGCAAGCGUUUGUCCGGAAUUAUUGGGCGUAAAGAGCUCGUAGGCGGUUCGUCGCGUCGGCUGUGAAAUCCCGAGGCUCAACCUCGGGUCUGCAGUCGAUACGGGCGGACUGGAGUUCGGCAGGGGAGACUGGAAUUCCUGGUGUAGCGGUGAAAUGCGCAGAUAUCAGGAGGAACACCGGUGGCGAAGGCGGGUCUCUGGGCCGAGUACUGACGCUGAGGAGCGAAAGCGUGGGGAGCGAACAGG
rnacentral:rRNA from 1 species